rnacentral:rRNA from 1 species
UACGGGGGGGGCAAGCGUUGUUCGGAAUUACUGGGCGUAAAGGGCUCGUAGGUGGCCAACUAAGUCAGACGUGAAAUCCCCAGGCUCAACCUGGGAACUGCGUCUGAUACUGGAUGGCUUGAAUUCGGGAGAGGGAUGCAGAAUUCCAGGUGUAGCGGUGAAAUGCGUAGAUAUCAAGAGGAACACCUGAGGUGAAGACGGGUUGCUGGGCUGACACUGACGCUGAGGCGCGAAAGCUAGGGUAGCAAACGGG